CCUACGGGAGGCUGCAGUGAGGAAUAUUGGUCAAUGGGAGAGAUCCUGAACCAGCCAAGCCGCGUGAGGGAAGACGGCCCUAUGGGUUGUAAGCCUCUUUUGUCGGGGAACAAAACCCGGGGCGUGUCCCGGACUGCGUGUAUCCGAAGAAAAGGCAUCGGCUAACUCCGUUCCAGCAGCCGCGGUAAUACGGAGGAUGCGAGCGUUAUCCGGAUUUAUUGGGUUUAAAGGGUGCGUAGGCGGUCCGUUAAGUCAGCGGUAAAAUGACGGGGCUCAACCCCGUCGAGCCGUUGAAACUGGCAGACUUGAGUGGGCGAGAAGUACGCGGAACGCGCGGUGUAGCGGCGAAAUGCAUAGAUAUCGCGCAGAACUCCGAUUGCGAAGGCAGCGUACCGGCGCCAGACUGACGCUGAGGCACGAAAGCGUGGGGAUCGAACAGGAUUAGAUACCCGUGUAGUC
rnacentral:rRNA from 1 species